UAGUCCACGCCGUAAACGAUGAGAACUAGAUUUUGGUGGUAUUGACCCCUUCAGAAUCGCAGCUAACGCAUUAAGUUCUCCGCCUGGGGAGUACGGCCGCAAGACUAAAACUCAAAGGAAUUGACGGGGGCCCGCACAAGCGGUGGAUUAUGUGGUUUAAUUCGAAGCAACGCGCAAAACCUUACCUAGGCUUGAACUCCUGAGAAGUCGGAGUAAUGUCUGAUGUGUCCUUCGGGAAACUCAGUGAGAGGUGCUGCAUGGCUGUCGUCAGCUCGUGUUGUGAAAUGUUGGGUUAAGUCUCGCAACGAGCGCAACCCCUAUCUUUAGUUGCCAGCAUUCAGUUGGGCACUCUAGAGAGACUGCCUGGGUUAACCAGGAGGAAGGUGGGGAUGACGUCAAGUCCUCAUGGCCCUUAUGUCUAGGGCUACACACGUAAUACAAUGGUGCAUACAAUGGGAAGCGAAACUCGCGAGGGGGAGCGAAAUCUCAAAAAGUGACAUCUCAC
rnacentral:rRNA from 1 species